UAAGCCCUACGUCUUGCGAACGCCCAAGUUCCACUUGGGACCUUCAAGUAGCAAGCGCGGGGCUUU
rnacentral:sRNA from 1 species